UACGUAGGGAGCAAGCGUUGUCCGGAAUCAUUGGGCGUAAAGCGCGCGUAGGCGGCCCUGUAAGUCCGUUGUGAAAGUCAAAGGCUCAACCUUUGAACGCCGAUGGAUACUGCAGGGCUAGAGUCCGGAAGAGGCGAGUGGAAUUCCUGGUGUAGCGGUGGAAUGCGCAGAUAUCAGGAGGAACACCAAUAGCGAAGGCAGCUCGCUGGGACGUUACUGACGCUAAGGCGCGAAAGCGUGGGGAGCGAACAGG
rnacentral:rRNA from 1 species